GAGGUAGUUGGCAAGAAAUAACAAUACGGGGCUUAAUGUCUUGUAAUUGGAAUGAUGGGAAUUUAAACCUCUUCCAGAGUAUCAAUUGGAGGGCAAGUCUGGUGCCAGCAGCCGCGGUAAUUCCAGCUCCAAUAGCGUAUAUUAAAAUUGUUGCAGUUAAAAAGCUCGUAGUUGAAUUUCUGCUGCAUUGCAUCUUCUUUUUGAUGAGUUGGUGUAUUGUGGCUUAUUUCGGAUGAUACUUGUAUUAUCCGGAUGAUUACUUUGAGAAAAUUAGAGUGCUCAAAGCAGGCUUUUGCCUUGAAUAGUUUAGCAUGGAAUAAUAAAGUAGGACUUUGGUUCUAUUUUGUUGGUUUUAGGUACCAAAGUAAUGGUUAAUAGGAACAGUUGGGGGCAUUCGUAUUUAACUGUCAGAGGUGAAAUUCUUAGAUUUGUUAAAGACGAACUACUGCGAAAGCAUUUGCCAAGGAUGUUUUCAUUAAUCAAGAACGAAAGUUAGGGGAUCGAAGAA
rnacentral:rRNA from 1 species